AUUGAACGCUGGCGGCAGGCCUAACACAUGCAAGUCGAGCGAGCGGAGGACGGGGGAGUAAUGUCGGGGAACCUGCCGGUAGGCGGGGGAUAACUACUGGAAACGGUAGCUAAUACGGCAUACCAUCCGCUUUGGCCAGAUGGGAUUGGCUAGUAGGUGGGGUAACGGCUCACCUAGGCGACGAUCCCUAGCUGGUCUGAGAGGAUGACCGGCCACACUGGAACUGAGACACGGUCCAGACUCCUACGGGAGGCAGCAGUGGGGAAUAUUGCACAAUGGGCGCAAGCCUGAUGCAGCCAUGCCGCGUGUAUGAAGAAGGCUUUCGGGUUGUAAAGUACUUUCAGCGGUGAGGCGUUACCCGCAGAAGAAGCACCGGCUAACUCCGUGCCAGCAGCCGCGGUAAUUC
rnacentral:rRNA from 1 species